AUUGAACGCUGGCGGCAUGCCUUACACAUGCAAGUCGAACGGUAACGCGGGAGCGAUCCUGGCGACGAGUGGCGAACGGGUGAGUAAUACAUCGGAACGUGCCCAGUAGUGGGGGAUAGCCCGGCGAAAGCCGGAUUAAUACCGCAUACGACCUACGGGUGAAAGCGGGGGAUCGCAAGACCUCGCGCUAUUGGAGCGGCCGAUGUCAGAUUAGGUAGUUGGUGGGGUAAAGGCCUACCAAGCCUACGAUCUGUAGCUGGUCUGAGAGGACGACCAGCCACACUGGGACUGAGACACGGCCCAGACUCCUACGGGAGGCAGCAGUGGGGAAUUUUGGACAAUGGGCGCAAGCCUGAUCCAGCCAUGCCGCGUGCGGGAAGAAGGCCUUCGGGUUGUAAACCGCUUUUGUCAGGGAAGAAAUCCUUUGGGCUAAUACCCCGGGGGGAUGACGGUACCUGAAGAAUAAGCACCGGCUAACUACGUGCCAGCAGCCGCCGUAAUAC
rnacentral:rRNA from 1 species